GUGGAAUGUUGACCAACGCGGCGUCAAGACAAGUUGACGCUGAAAAUAUAUUAUGGCUACCGCGGGAUUUUGGUAUUUUUUGUUAUUGUAAAGUGAUUGGCACGAAGGACAAGACCAUGAACACUGUCCAAGAAGAAUGAAGCGGAAAGGACAAAAAAUUAAGCAUGACCUACGCAUAACACCAUAUCUGUAACCAAGAAAAGUGCAAGUGAAAAAUAUGUAAAUAAAAGCAAUAAUAAAU